AUGAACGCUAGCGGCAGGCUUAACACAUGCAAGUCGAGGGGCAGCACGGGUAGCAAUACUUGGUGGCGACCGGCGCAAGGGUGCGUAACGCGUGAGCAACAUGCCCGUAUCAGGGGGAUAAUCCAGGGAAACUUGGUCUAAUACCCCAUAGCAAUUGGAGGAGGCAUCUUUUUCAAUUUAAAGCUUUGGUGGAUACGGAUUGGCUCGCGUGACAUUAGCUAGAUGGUAAGGUAACGGCUUACCAUGGCUACGAUGUCUAGGGGUUCUGAGAGGAAGAUCCCCCACACUGGAACUGAGACACGGUCCAGACUCCUACGGGAGGCAGCAGUGAGGAAUAUUGGACAAUGGAUGGAAAUCUGAUCCAGCCAUGCCGCGUGCAGGAAGACGGCCCUAUGGGUUGUAAACUGCUUUUGUAUGGGAGCAAUAAGGUCUAUGCGUAGACUGAUGAGAGUACCAUACGAAUAAGCAUCGGCUAACUCCGU
rnacentral:rRNA from 1 species